GGGGGACGAGGGUGGACAGGUGGUGGCAUGGUUGUCGUCAGCUCGUGUCGUGAGAUGUUGGGUUAAGUCCCGCAACGAGCGCAACCCUCGACCUUAGUUGCCAGCAUUCAGUUGGGCACUCUAAGGUGACUGCCGGCUAAAAGUCGGAGGAAGGUGGGGAUGACGUCAAAUCAUCAUGCCCCUUAUGACCUGGGCUACACACGUGCUACAAUGGGCGGUACAAAGGGUCGCGAACCCGCGAGGGGGAGCCAAUCCCAAAAAGCCGCUCUCAGUUCGGAUUGGAGUCUGCAACUCGACUCCAUGAAGUUGGAAUCGCUAGUAAUCGCGUAUCAGCAUGACGCGGUGAAUACGUUCCCGGGCCUU
rnacentral:rRNA from 1 species